rnacentral:lncRNA from 12 species
CUUUAAUAAGAAUAUAUCUCUUCAAGAAGAAUGACAGCAUAUAUUCAUGUCCAUUUUGAUUCAGGAUGAUGAACAAACAUUGUCUGAUGUGCUGCCAUUUGCAGAGGCCUGUUUUUUGCAUCAGGAUCAGUGAGAAGCAGCUGUUACCUCAACCUCUUCACCAAAGUUCAUGGCUAGGAUAAUCCAAAUUCACAUGGGGGACUGCUGGGCACUUGCGUGGAUUGGACGUCAAUGUCUGGAGAGCACCUCCUGGCCCCCUCAGCUCUGACAUGUGAGUGACAGAUUUCCUGCUGACAAUGCACACUUCUAAGGGCUCAGAUAUGACCCCACUUUGGCUGCCUGCUGUAGCUUUG